UACGUAGGGACCAAGCGUUGUUCGGAUUUACUGGGCGUAAAGGGCGCGUAGGCGGCUUGACAAGUCACUUGUGAAAUCUCCGGGCUUAACUCGGAAUGGCCAAGUGAAACUGUCAUGCUAGAGUGCAGGAGGGGCAAUCGGAAUUCUUGGUGUAGCGGUGAAAUGCGUAGAUAUCGAGAGGAACACCUGCGGCGAAGGCGGGUUGCUGGGCCGACACUGACGCUGAUGCGCGAAAGCCAGGGGAGCAAACAGG
rnacentral:rRNA from 1 species